UAGGGAAUAUUGGACAAUGGGGGCAACCCUGAUCCAGCCAUGCCGCGUGAGUGAAGAAGGCCCUCGGGUUGUAAAGCUCUUUUGUCCGGAAAGAAAAGCUUCGGGUUAAUACCCCGGGGUUCUGACGGUACCGGAAGAAUAAGCACCGGCUAACUUCGUGCCAGCAGCCGCGGUAAUACGAAGGGUGCAAGCGUUACUCGGAAUUACUGGGCGUAAAGCGUGCGUAGGUGGUUGUUGAAGUCUGAUGUGAAAGCCCUGGGCUCAACCUUGGAAUGGCAUUGGAAACUGGGCAGCUAGAGUGCGGUAGAGGGUAGUGGAAUUCCCGGUGUAGCAGUGAAAUGCGUAGAGAUCGGGAGGAACAUCUGUGGCGAAGGCGACUGCCUGGACCAGCACUGACACUGAGGCACGAAAGCGUGGGGAGCAAACA
rnacentral:rRNA from 1 species